rnacentral:rRNA from 1 species
UACACUCCUACGGGAGGCAGCAGUGGGGAAUAUUGCACAAUGGGCGCAAGCCUGAUGCAGCCAUGCCGCGUGUAUGAAGAAGGCCUUCGGGUUGUAAAGUACUUUCAGCGGGGAGGAAGGCGAUAAGGUUAAUAACCUUGUCGAUUGACGUUACCCGCAGAAGAAGCACCGGCUAACUCCGUGCCAGCAGCCGCGGUAAUACGGAGGGUGCAAGCGUUAAUCGGAAUUACUGGGCGUAAAGCGCACGCAGGCGGUCUGUCAAGUCGGAUGUGAAAUCCCCAGGCUCAACCUGGGAACUGCAUUCGAAACUGGCAGGCUAGAGUCUUGUAGAGGGGGGUAGAAUUCCAGGUGUAGCGGUGAAAUGCGUAGAGAUCUGGAGGAAUACCGGUGGCGAAGGCGGCCCCCUGGACAAAGACUGACGCUCAGGUGCGAAAGCGUGGGGAGCAAACAGGAUUAGAUACCCUUGUAGUCCCAU